rnacentral:misc_RNA from 1 species
UCUCCGUAGGUGAACCUGCGGAGGGAUCAUUACAGAGUUCAUGCCCUACCGGGUAGAUCUCCCACCCUAUGUUAUUAUUACUUUGUUGCUUUGGCGGGCCGUUAGGCUCCGGCCCGACUACCGGCCCCGGCUGGUAAGCGCCCGCCAGAGGACCCAAAACCCUGAAUAUUAGUGUCGUCUGAGUACUAUAUAAUAGUUAAAACUUUCAACAACGGAUCUCUUGGUUCUGGCAUCGGUGAAGAACGCAGC